GGUUAAGCGACUAAGCGUACACGGUGGAUGCCCUGGCAGUCAGAGGCGAUGAAGGGCGUGCUAAUCUGCGAUAAGCGCCGGUAAGGUGAUAUGAACCGUUAUAACCGGCGAUACCCGAAUGGGGAAACCCAGUGUGAUUCGUCACACUAUCAUUAACUGAAUCCAUAGGUUAAUGAGGCGAACCGGGGGAACUGAAACAUCUAAGUACCCCGAGGAAAAGAAAUCAACCGAGAUUCCCCCAGUAGCGGCGAGCGAACGGGGAGGAGCCCAGAGCCUGAAUCAGCAUGUGUGUUAGUGGAAGCGUCUGGAAAGUCGCGCGAUACAGGGUGACAGCCCCGUACACAAAAGCGCAUGUG
rnacentral:rRNA from 1 species